GCAUAUCAAUAAGCGGAGGAAAAGAAACCAACAGGGAUUGCCCUAGUAACGGCGAGUGAAGCGGCAACAGCUCAAAUUUGAAAUCUGGCCUCGGCCCGAGUUGUAAUUUGCAGAGGAUGCUUCUGGCGCGGUGCCUUCCGAGUUCCCUGGAACGGGACGCCACAGAGGGUGAGAGCCCCGUAUGGUCGGACACCAAGCCUGUGUGAAGCUCCUUCGACGAGUCGAGUAGUUUGGGAAUGCUGCUCUAAAUGGGAGGUAAAUCUCUUCUAAAGCUAAAUACCGGCCAGAGACCGAUAGCGCACAAGUAGAGUGAUCGAAAGAUGAAAAGCACCUUGAAAAGGGGGUUAAAUAGUACGUGAAAUUGUUGAAAGGGAAGCACUUAUGACCAGACUUGGGCCGGGCGGCUCAUCAGGGGUUCUCCCCUGUGCACUCCGCCCGGCACAGGCCAGCAUCGGUUCUCGUGGGGGGAUAAGACCGUCAGGAACGUAGCACCCUCCGGGGUGUGUUAUAGCCUGGCGGACGAUACCCCCGUGGGGACCGAGGUCCGCGCUCCGCAAGGAUGCUGGCGUAAUGGUCAUCAGUGGCCCGUCUUGAAACACGGACCAAGGAGUCGUCCAUUAGAGCGAGCGUUUGGGUGUAAAACCCGCACGCGUAAUGAAAGUGAACGCAGGUGAGAGCUUCGGCGCAUCAUCGACCGAUCCUGAUGUUCUCGGAAGGAUUUGAGUAAGAGUUUUAACGGACGGACCCGAAAGACAGUGAACUAUGCUUGUAUAGGGUGAAGCCAGAGGAAACUCUGGUGGAGGCUCGCAGCGGUUCUGACGUGCAAAUCGAUCGUCAAAUAUGAGCAUGGGGGCGAAAGACUAAUCGAACUGUCUAGUAGCUGGUUACCGCCGAAG
rnacentral:rRNA from 1 species